AAAUAAUAUCAUUGAUUAAAUCAUAAUCAAUACCAUUGAUUAUUUGUUAUCUAGAUUUCAAAAACCAUGGGUAUAAAUCAGAUUUUCCUUCAAUAUUUAGCUUUCCAAAAGACAACAUGCAUAGAGAUUGUGCAUAUAUACCCUGAAAUAAAUUUGCUAUGGUUAUAAAAUUGUUAUGGUCUAGAUAUGAAGUAUCUAAAAAAUCUCAUGAGUGAGACAAUGAAAAAUGUUCAGACGUGAAAUGAUUAGAUUAUGAAAGCUUCAACCUAACCACUGGAUUAAUUCACUGAUAUGGAUUAACUGAGUGGUAACUGUAGGCAGGUAAGGUGUGGUUGGGAAAGCUGAGUCAUUGGGGCAUGACUUCAAGAUUUAUAUUUUGUUCCUGCUGAGCAGAGGUCUCUCUCUUCUUCCUGAUUGCCCAUAUUCUAAGUUGCUUUCCUCUGCCACACCCUUCUGCCAUGAUGGUCUGCCUCACUGUGAACCCAGAGCAAAGGAGUCAGCUGUUUAUAAACUAAGACCUUUGAAACCAUGAGCCAAAAUAAACUUUUUCUCCUUUUAAUUUUUCUUGGCAUGUCUUUUGGUUAUAGCAAUGCAAAAGCUGAUUAAAACAAAAGCUUAUGUAUACUUCAUACCAGUGGUAUUAACUUGGUCCUAUAUACCUAUUUUCUAAGUUACUUGUGAAACUUAAGGAAGAUCAUCAUGAAAAAACCUGAUGGUUAGGGCCAUGCCUACUUUACCAUAAAUUAUUCUCUUUUUUAAAGUUAAUGCAAAAGAUCACUUUAUUUUUGGAGGCAAAAUUUAAGGGAUCUAUAUCUACAGUAUAUAUAAUAAUUAUUAUUAUCCUUUUAAAAUGUAAGCACUCUUUCUCCUCUCCAGCUAUCACAUUAUGGUUAAAUAGUAUAAGAUGAUAUGAAAAAAAUGCUAAGCAAGAGUUUCCUUAUGAAAACAACAGUAAUAGUAAUAAUAACAAUUAUAAAAGUUCAAAUGAAAAUAACUGGCUAACAAAAAAAGUGCUGAAUUUCACUUUUUUUCCUUGUUUCUGCAGUUUUCACAGAAGCAACAACUGUGAAAAUAGCUUUCAUUUUUCCUUUACAAAACUGAAAAUAGAAGUCAUUAAAUAUAAAUCUUAUAUUCUUGAAGUUAAAAUGUACUCUGUCAAGCCAUUGUAUGUUUCCUAAUCAGGCCCAACUGAAGUUGGAUUGUUUGUAUGCCAAAGUAAACUCCAAGUCCAUAAAUAAAUUUGAUUGAUUUGUUUUAACAUCAGCAAUGUGACAUCUCUAUCUUAGCUCAUGUGAUAGGACAUAGCCAUAGAUAUUGUUAGGACUAUUCCCUUAUGGGAUGCUUGCUGUGGUAUAUUGAAGAGAACUAUUAUUAAUUUGUACUCAGUACGUGGAGUUUAGUCAGCAAAAGUAAAACAGCUUUUGUUAAUAAGGAUAAAAUAUAUAUAAUGACUUGUUGAAACAAUUUGGUAAUAUUCAAGAGUGUUUCAUAAGUAGAAAAAAUUAUGUGAAGCAGGAUAUUUUGUUCUUUGUCUGCACACUUUCCAUGAUUUAUUUACAAAUGCUUUUGAAUGGAUUUUAUGAGAAGUCAUAGUAGAAGAUGCAAAGAUAAUAGCCAUGGCUCCUAUUGUCAUGAUAAAAGGCAGAAUGUGAUAAUAAGGAAAACAUAAAUAUGAAAUACGUUACUUAAAGUAAAAGUUCACCACGGCCAGAGAGAUACAGCAAGUUUGCAAAAUUACAAUAUCAUUUGCUCUGCACUUAGCAGAUAGUUAAGUUACAUUUACACAUUUGAAGAUGGGGGAAACAUUUUGAAGAAACAAAAAACAUAAAAUUAGAAAUAGAGAAGAGUUAUUAGUAAGAAAAAAAUAUAAAACAAAAUAGAUAUGAGUCUAGAGAAGUUUAGUUGGGUCCAAUAAUAAAAAGUUUUCUUAAUUUUUACUUCUGGGACAACUUGGGAUCAUUGCAAGUUUUUGAGCUACCAAGUUUUGUAUUAAAAGAUUAUUAUAUUUCAGCACAGCAUUAGAUUGAUUGAAAAGGGAAAAUAAUUGAGGUAGAAAGAUCAAUUACAACUCAUUAAAAUUGACUAGAUGAACUGAUUUUAGGGCCUGAACUUGAAGUUUAUCUAUCCAACUAAGAUAAACCAAUUUUGGUUUCUAAUUAAAGAUCCUCCUAAAUUAUUGGCCCUAUAAAACUUAAAUUCAAAUUUGCUUUGAAAUAUAUACUUGAAAAAAUACUUAGGCCAUGAUCUCCAAGUUCCAGUGGCUGGAUCCCAAAGUUAGAGGAACAAAGGAGUGGAAGUUGCAUUGGUGCAGGAGGUUUUAGGUGUCAGCUGCAGGCAAGGUGGUCAUCUGUCCUGUGAGUAGCAGAGUCUGAGAGAGAGAGAGAGAGAAAUUUGUUUUUCAGAAAUCUAUUGGGGAAUGCCAAAUACAUUGGGGAGCUGGGUGGGCACAGAAACAACUUAAGUGAGAAGCCAUUAUCACACCUCAACAAAUCCUAUGAGAAACUCUGGAGAGGAGAUUACUUUUCAGAAUUGUUCUGCACUGGGGCAAAAGAGCCACCUUUUACACUACCAUCCUCAAGAUUCUGUAAGGAAUCUCCCGUGUGAGAUUCAUCAGAGAACAUGCAUCUGUCAGCAUUCCCAGCUGCUAAGAGAAUGAAUGCUACCUCUAGAAGAGGUCAUAAGGCAAUUGGAGCAGCUAUGCACAAUGAAAUAAAGCUAGAAUAGAGUGUGUGUUGGGGGUAUCAUAUGUCACCUGAGUUCUCUAAUAAGAAGUCUCAGCACUAUUGGGUAAAUGAGAAAUAAUUUCCAUUGAAAGACUUACAUCAUCAUUUAGUCAUACAUUUAAUUAAUAAUUUUUCUAUUUUCAAAUGUUUUCUUCAUUAUUCUAUCAUUAUAUUGUAACAAACAUAUUAUCAGGCAUAGUUUUAUAUUGGCAUAUUCCUUAGGAAUUUUUCUUUUGAUGUAUUUCAAUCUCUGUGCUUUAGAGAUACACAUAAAUGCCAAUUCUAUAAUAAUAGAAUCUAUCCAUGUUUGAAAAUCUCUUACUAGAUGAGUGCAUGGCUCCAUUCAUUCAGGUUCAUUCAUGUUCUUAAUCUAACAGGAAUUAAUUUGAUGCCUAGAUGCCUGAAAUGAAACCACUAUCGAUUUCUCAAGAGUUAAAAGAUUUAUGUUAACCUGUCCAUAUCCUAGUUACAGCUUUCUCCAGUAUUGUUAUCCAGUGAAUUAUAUAGCCUUACAAUAAACUCUUCCCUCUGAGCUUAUGAGACACUGAAAUGAUCUGGUCCAUGAUGUUCUUCAUUGGCCACUGCAAUCUUGUGAGCUGAAUGAGACAGGGGGGAAUAAGAGGCAGGAACCAUGCAUUUACUACUGCAGGAUCACCUCAUAACUUGUGAGAAAGCAGCCAAGUUUCCCAGAUUGCUUAUCACUGAGAGUCCUGUCAGUCUUCAAAACAAAGUGGAGGUUGAAGAACCAACCUUGUCCUCCACCAUACAAAGCAGGUGCUUCAUAAAUGCAGUUAUUGUUGUAAGAAUUUUAUUGGAUAAUAAGACCAUAUCAUUUCUGUUCACCUCUCUAUGUUAGUUUAAAAAACCAGGGUAAGUUGGAACUGAUAUUAUUACAUUUUAUAAGCCUUUAUAUGGCAACACAAAAUUAUAUGAGCAUAUUUUUUGUACCACACCUCCAAAUCUAGGGAAUUUAAUUGAGUCUUCUGAAUAAAAUCAUGCAGUAUAUGAGAAGAACUGUGCUUUAGAGAUGAUUGGAGUCAUGCAGGAUAAAUGGUCUGGAUGAACAUAUAUGGAAGGAAAUGGUGACCUUGAGUUAGUGGUUUAUAUCAGGCUAAAUGGAAUAAUCUGGGAAGCAGGAACAUCCAAGUGUCUUAUACACUAUGCAGGGAAGAAUGACAGGUGUUCUGGUAACAUCAUCUAGUAGACCAUUCUUCCCACAGUUAUCAAAUAUCGGACAACUAGUACACCAACCCCUUUUCAGAAGCUAAGUAAUCACAGGAAAUAUAAAAAAUAACAGUAAGCAUCUCUAUCACUACUAGAAAUAUAGUCAAUAUUAUAUUAGAUAGCCAGCAAACUGAAGCAAUUAUGAGGAUCAACAUUAACAACCAUUUCUGAGAAAACAAUAAGGACUAUGAAAAAUUAGAAGAAGUUUUGACAAUUUCAUUUAUACACUGAUCAUUGGCAAAACUAGUUUUAGAAGUAAAGAAGGGCUAUGAGAGUUAUGCGGUCAAUGAUUUGGAAGCUGGCUGAAAUGGGCCAUGCAAGAGCUGACACUGCUAAAUCCAUAAAAGAAAACUUGUGCAAUAUUUCAUGGGUUCAAAACCUCUUCCACUGUGGUAGAUGUCUUUUUACUAAAAUAAAUAACACAAACAACAAAGAGGCCCAGAUAGACACAGUGUACAUAUACCUUAAGUCAAGACAAGAUGAAUAGAAAACUACAUAUGAAAGUCUGACUCUGAGAAAUAGCAAUUGAGCAAGCGAGUAAAUGUCAGAGCAGAAAUUAAAAUAGUGCUAAAAGGAAUAAUUGAUAUCCUUGCAAAAGACACAUUGAGAAAUCACUACAAUUUAGAGGAGUAUCUUAAAAAAUGAAGUCAACAGAUGGGAAUGACUAAAAAAAAUGUCUGUGAGGCUAGAUAAUUAGUUUAUAUCAAGAAUUUACUAUUGAGGAGUUGUGUGAAUCGGGGAUAUACUUAAUCCUCUUUGCCUCAGUUUUCACAUCUGUUAAGUGGAGAUAAAAAUUUCUGACUAUAGGACUAUACAUAAUUUUAAACAGGUUAAUGUAUGCAAAGUACUUAUUCUAUUGUAUACUCUUAUUAAGUUGUU